rnacentral:rRNA from 1 species
GACGAACGCUGGCGGCGUGCUUAACACAUGCAAGUCGAACGGAAAGGCCCUGCUUUUGUGGGGUGCUCGAGUGGCGAACGGGUGAGUAACACGUGAGUAACCUGCCCUUGACUUUGGGAUAACUUCAGGAAACUGGGGCUAAUACCGGAUAGGAGCUCCUGCUGCAUGGUGGGGGUUGGAAAGUUUCGGCGGUUGGGGAUGGACUCGCGGCUUAUCAGCUUGUUGGUGGGGUAGUGGCUUACCAAGGCUUUGACGGGUAGCCGGCCUGAGAGGGUGACCGGCCACAUUGGGACUGAGAUACGGACCAGACGCCUACGGGAGGCAGCAGUGGGGAAUAUUGCACAAUGGGCGGAAGCCUGAUGCAGCAACGCCGCGUGCGGGAUGACGGCCUUCGGGUUGUAAACCGCUUUCGCCUGUGACGAAGUGUGAGUGACGGUAAUGGGUAAAGAAGCACCGGCUAACUACGUG